UACGUAGGGGGCAAGCGUUAUCCGGAAUUACUGGGCGUAAAGGGUGAGUAGGCGGCUCUAUAAGUCAUAUGUGAAAGCCCAAGGCUUAACCUUGGGAUUGCAUAAGAAACUAUAGAGCUCGAGUAUGGGAGAGGUAAGCGGAAUUCCUAGUGUAGCGGUGAAAUGCGUAGAUAUUAGGAAGAACACCGGUGGCGAAGGCGGCUUACUGGACCAAGACUGACGCUGAGGCACGAAAGCGUGGGGAGCGAACAGG
rnacentral:rRNA from 1 species